rnacentral:rRNA from 1 species
UGGGGAAUAUUGCACAAUGGGCGCAAGCCUGAUGCAGCCAUGCCGCGUGUAUGAAGAAGACCUUCGGGUUGUAAAGUACUUUCAGUCGGGAGGAAGGUGUCAAGGUUAAUAACCUUGGCAAUUGACGUUACCGACAGAAGAAGCACCGGCUAACUCCGUGCCAGCAGCCGCGGUAAUACGGAGGGUGCAAGCGUUAAUCGGAAUUACUGGGCGUAAAGCGCACGCAGGCGGUUGAUUGAGUCAGAUGUGAAAUCCCCGGGCUUAACCCGGGAAUUGCAUCUGAUACUGGUCAGCUAGAGUCUUGUAGAGGGGGGUAGAAUUCCAUGUGUAGCGGUGAAAUGCGUAGAGAUGUGGAGGAAUACCGGUGGCGAAGGCGGCCCCCUGGACAAAGACUGACGCUCAGGUGCGAAAGCGUGGGGAGCAAACAGG